UACGAAGGGGGCUAGCGUUGUUCGGAAUCACUGGGCGUAAAGCGCACGUAGGUGGCCGAGCAAGGUCGCGGUGAAAGCCCGGGGCUCAACCCCGGGUCGGCCGUGGCAACUACUCGGCUCGAGCACUGUAGGGGCGGGUGGAAUUCCGGGUGUAGCGGUGGAAUGCGUAGAGAUCCGGAAGAACAUCAGUGGCGAAGGCGGCCUGCUGGGCUGUUGCUGACGCUGAGGCGCGACAGCGUGGGGAGCAAACAGG
rnacentral:rRNA from 1 species